CAGGGACGGGCCGGAACAGCCUCAGCCCCGCCCACCUCACGUGGCGGGGAACGUCCUGAUUGUUGUGAGGCGGAAGGGCCUUGUUUGGGAGCCAGGUGGCUAGGUUCCUGGAAUACUGCAGGCGGGACGCAGGGGGGCUCAAGUUAGUAAAGUGUUACUUUAGGUUUUUGUAUUGUCAAUAGUGUUUCAGAGCAGUGUUGAUCAAAUUAACUACUUUUAUUUUUCUUGUGCCCUUCAUUUGUUUUUGGGGGAGGAAAGGGGGAGGAGAUGUGUCUGUGCCUGCGAUUAGUAUCUCUUCUUCGCGGGCUAUUAAGGAGCAGUCCGUAGUGAAUUAUGUUAAUUUUUAUAUGGACACAGAGCAAUUGUACCUUUUGGGUGACAAAUGGGAGACAGUACUGAAGGGAAUAUUGGCUCUAUCAAGUAAUGAAAUAGGAACAUAUGAUAAUAUGCAUAUAUAGCUACCGAUGAAAUGGAGGAAGCAAAGGGCACCUUUAUUUUGCUUUACUCUGCAUUGAAAUCAGUAAAAGGACAUCCUCAAAUAAGAGAAGAAUAAGGAGAAAUGAGGGGAUCUGAAACAAUAAAAGGUAAAAUGAAUUGAAAAAGUAAACAAGAAAAGAAGGCAUCUAAUGUGGAGUAACCGAAAAUCAAAAGAAACAUGCUCACAGAAAAUAUGGCUAAAAGAAGUGACAAUUUUGGACAGGACCAAAGACAACUCCCAAGCUUGUUCUCUCUAAUAGGUGGACACAUCUGCCCACAUGCACCUUUUAUGCACACUAACCCCAAAGUGCUGGGCUUCCUAAGGAUCCUCAGUGUGAUUCUCCCUCCACCACACUGUCUAGAGCUUUGGUGGAAAGAGGACCCUCUCCAGCCAUCCUUCUCAGAGUGUGUGAGUACAAAGAGAAUAUUCUGCUGCGCCCUCUGUAUGGCUCCCUCACCAGUUUAGCAAAGGGGAGGAACUAGGACCUGACCCUGGUUGCAUGCCCAGGACACUAUCAGAUUGGAUGUCUAUUAUUACAGCUAACAUUUAUUGUCUGUCUAUUGUGUGCCAGCUUCAAUCUAUUUACUUUAUGUAUGCUUGUAGAUUUAUUCCUCAUAAUAGCUCCAACAGGUAGGCACUGCUCUAUUCCACUUUGCAAACGAAUACUAAGGCACAGAGAGAGUAAGUGACCUUGUCCAAGGUAUCACAGCUAGAAAAACGGCAGAACAGAGGUUUGAACUCAGCCAUCACGCUCCAGAGAUUUUGCACGGAUCUACCAUGCUUGACUGUAUAGUUCUAGCUGGGGAAAAGGCCUGGGGAGAGUGAGAAAAGCACAGCAGCAGGUAUGGUGUCACUUUUAUUGGGCUUAAGGAAGAAAUAUCACUUCUUUAUGCUCAAGGCUCUGCAGGGUAUUCUUCUGAAGGUUUUGCAUCUACUUUUUGACCUGGUACUUCAAUUCAAUUCAGCAUACAUUUAUCGAGUGCCUCUUUAUGAUCUAGGAAUCAUGUAAGGUGCUAGGGACAGGAAAGCAGAUAAGAUAUAGACAAAAUUAUACAUUAAAUCUUAGAAAGGUGUUCUUUAUUUUAUAAAUGUCCUCUGAUGGCAGUUCUUUGCUGAUGUCCUUGAAGUAGUGGAAUGACACAGUGAGAAUGCAAAGCUCCAGAUACAUGCUUGUUUCUUAGUAGAAAUCAACCUCCCUUUUUGUUCACCUCUCAAAUUAUUCCGUGAAGUACCACGGAAGAUGUCCACAUCAGAUGAAUCUGAUUAAUAGGGUCCUGUCUGGCUAUCAGUAGCAAGCCAUGGUUGCCUGAAGCUGUCUAUUAACCUGAUGGCUCCAGGUGAGCGUCUCAGACCACAAACAUGCAAUGACUUUAAUGGAAGAAAAAGAAUCAACUCUUUUUUUCCAUCUCUGUGUUUUCGAUCAUUUUUGUUUUGACUCCCGACUUCCCCUUGAUCUCUAAAAUAGCAAAUAGCAUGUAGGAAAAUCUAUCAUCUGUUAAACAAUCAUGCAAAGAAUGACAUGGCAAUACUGCCUCUUUUACAUGAAGGGCAUCAUCUGACAUACUUACUACCACCCAAACUCACAAAUUACUUAAAAUAAAUGUAUGGAAACCUCAUCCUUAACCUUAAGCAAUUGAACUUCUUGAUUCUGAUUAUUUUCUACAAGUGACUUUGAGAGUUAAUUACAAAUAAUAAAAUGUGAAAAGAAGAUGCUGAGCUUCACAAAUACGUUUACAAGAAGGACAUCAAAAGACUUUUUGUCUCUAGUAUCUAUGGGGUAAGUAGCAAAUUUAGAGGUAGAGAUGACUUGGGACCAUGCUAUUGGUAUCACUCCACUUAUUUCAUGAUAAUAAGAGCAAUAAUCCAUAGUUAUUGAGCCAGGCCCUAUGCUGGGUACUUAAAGUGUAUCAUCUCAUUUAAUACUCCCAAACGUCCGUUUUCACAUAAGAAAACAGGCUCACAGAGGUUACUUUUCCAAGGUCACAUAGCUACUUGUGGCAGAGUGGGGCUACCAACCUGGGAGAUUUGUCUAAGUCUAUUCUUAUAGUUACCUUUCCAUACUCUCUAACAAAGUCAUUUUAGUUAUUGACUUUAGUGAGUGCCCACUUGCUCAGCAUAUCAGAGCUGAAAGCCAUUCCUGACUCCCUGAAUUUUUGCAGAUUUAUUGUGAGAAAUACAUUCAUCCCCUAAUUAUAUAUGCUUACUGCUUUAGACACCUUCAUUUUACAACUUGUCAUAGUCAUUAUUUUACCUUCACUGGUGUUGUGGGUUUCAUCAGUGCCAGUGUUAGUUACCUAUCGAUGAAACAAAUGACUCCAAAACUUUGUGGCUCAAUGCAACAAUCAUCACUUAUUAUUUCUCAUGGCUUCUGAGGGUCAGGAAUUCAGAUAGAGUACGACAGGGAUGAAUUGUUUCUGCUCCAUAAUGUCUGAAGCCUAAGCUGGGGCUGGAAUCAUCUGGAGGCUUGCUCACUCUAGAGUCUGACAGUUGAUGCUGGCUGUCAGCCAAGGGCCCAGCAGGGGCUUUUGUUGGAGCAUCCAUACAUAGCCUUUCCAUCAGUCCUGGGCUUUCUCACGUGAUGGCUGGCUUCAAGAGAAAUGAUCUCAAGACAACACCAAUGUAAAAGCUGAAUUACCUUUGUUUUUCAUUUUUGAGUGUGUGUGUGUGUGUGUGUGUGUGUGUGUGUGUGUAUGUUUGUAUGUGUGCAGCUUUUUAAGGUGUAAUUCACAUACUAUACAGUUCACUCAUUGCAAGUGUAUUGAAUAUUUUUUCAAAAUCUGUACAAUUGGCAUUUAUAUAAAUGGCUACAUAGUUAAAUACAUACUAAUGCUAGGGUUAUUGAUAAAGUGAAGACAAUUAGGUAUCCUUGAAGCAUUCCAUAAAUCAUCUCAACAUCUUGGACUAUGCUUGCCUUAUUUAAAAAAUGGGGUCCUUGAUUGGAGAAAAAGCAUGAUGAGUGCCUGGGCAUUAUACAUACAUGCUCUGUAUCUUUAUCAGGAACUUUCUGUACACAUGUGACUAUCCCAAGAGUCAUCACACAAGAUAACUGAUAAAUGUGACUUCUGUUGGGGUAGAGCAAAGAGUUCCAGGUGUAGAUACUACUGCCUGGCUGUCCUGUAUUUGUUCCUCCAUUGCAAACAAAUCUCUGAUUUUGUCCAGGUAUAUGAUGAGAUGUGAGCAGAGAAGGUGGAAUUCCACUCAUGCCCCCUAGCUUUAGGUAAUAAACAGUGAAGGGAAGCCCACACUCUUCUUUUAUGCCUUGGGAGAUGUAGUGUGACGGCAAGACACUUGGAGGUGUGACAGCCAUUUUGUGACCGUGAGGGGAGAGCCAAUGAAGUAGCAGAGAAGACAGUUCAAAGCCCUGACAGUUUUGAGCAGCUAUAGUAAUGAACUGUGAAACUUCUACUUCAAAGAGUCUUGAUUAGUGAGCUACUAAAAUGUCUAUAAUGUUCAAACCACUUUAAUUCACAUAUUUUGUUACUUGAAGCAGAACUUCUCCUAAGUGACAAACUCCUGUGAAAAAUACAAGUCAUAUUCAUCCCUAUUGGGAACAGAACAAAAGUAUAUGACUACUUGCUCUCAUUAACAGCACUGCUAUAAACUGUGAGUUAAGAUUAUUACAGUUUAUAAUUUUUCUUUUGGGAAGUCAAUGUCAGUGAUGGUGUUUGUAUUUUCUAGGCACCUGAGGCCAUAGUGACUGUGUGUUCAAGAAAUAUUUAAGAUUAAAGCAAAAAAUAGUUUACCCAAGGUUUGAACUUUAUGCUUAAAGACAUUAUAGGAGAUAAGGAGAAAGCUCUAAAGAUAUGAGAAAAUGAUUUAGAAAAUAAAAAAGUUGGGAAUUGGAAACUAUAAAAUAUCUUUAUGGAAAGGGCAUAGACUACUAGGCUAGGGAUCAUUUUGUACUACCAAAUUGUGUGCAGGACUCCCACUGGAGUCAAUCAGAGUCAUAUGCAAAAAUCAAUGUCAGGAUCUUUCCUUGAAACCAUAAACUGAAAGCUGAAAAAUCGGAACUAUUUCUUGAUAGAUGUCUGGGAGAGCGCCAAAUGUCAGGGAGGCCAGGUGUUUGAUGGAAAUGAAUGUGCUUGAUACUCUAAUAUUGCUGGAUAAAUUAGCAAGAAAGAGAAUUCCAUCACUGUCUUUCCCAAAACUUGAUUUUUUUAAAGCCCUCAGAACUUCUUCAAUUAUUUUUUCCAGAUGGUUGAGAAUUUUAAUGAAUAAUAUUCACUCUUUAAAGAAACGAUAUGAAUAGACUUUUUCUUUCCAAUAAUCUUAGGAAAAAAAUCCUUUACGUUUAGACCUGUACUUAAUCUGUGGGUCAGAGGUUAACUUCUGUGCACUCUUGUUUCUGGAGUAGAAGGUAUUAGUUUAACAUGCAAUGCACCAACCACUCUAUUAUGAGUCUCCUAAACUGUUAGAAAGAGGGUGAGGAAGGGAGGGUGCAGCAUUUGGGAACGUCAAGUCUCUGAAAACCAACUUUUUGAAUAAUUUGUCAUGGAGGUUCAAGAGAAUAAUUAAAAAUCAUCUUCUAAUGAUUAAAAAUCAUCCAUAUAUGGUUAUGUAAUUUAAACAGAAGGUGUGAUUUAUUAAAAUAUAUAAUGCUUUAAUUGAGUAGGAAUUUGAUGAGCUAGUACAUAGAAUUUUGCUUAAUAUCAGUAUUGAUUAUAAUUUUUUCUUAUCAGUUUUAAUAACAAAAGGAAUUUUUAAAAAAUAUUGAUUCUGAAAAUUUUCUCAGGCUUUCCCAGGCCAGUUCUGUAAUUUAUAAGUUCAUCAUUCAUGGGGAUAAGUGCUUAUUUAUCCCCUAUUGCUGUCUCCUUCUUGUGAAACCCAGUUCAUCAUUUUUAUUAGAAUGUUAUCAUUCUAUAGUAUUUAUUAAGUUGGUAACAGAGAUUUAUACUGUGCAUCACUUUAGGACCUGCUAUAUGAGAUCUAAGGCAAUUUUGAUAAAGAAGUAAUAGUAUUGAUAUAUUGAUUGAAUGAUCUAAUUUUUUUGUUUAUUUGAGAAUCUUGUUUAUUUGAGUUUCUUGAUGGAUAAGACCAAAGGUGUAGGAAGUCUAGUGUUAGUAGACAGAGUCCUCAAGAAAUUUGCAAUGUGCAGGAAAUGUGAUUUUCAUUAUAUUGUGUGGAAUUUAGGCUUUACAGAUCAUGUAUUCAGCUCUUUCUUACAUUCAAAGGACUGGAGGAGCACCUAAGAGGUCCCUUGACUUUUCAAGGACCAUACAGUGGGUCAGUGGAAUAGGAAGGGAGGCCAUAUCUUCUGACCCCUGUCCAAAGGUCUUUAGGCUAUGUCAUAAUGUCAAUCUCAAAUUUUCUAAUAAUCUACUGGAGUCUAUCAUUUUACAGUUCUCUAAACCCUUGUUUUUCAAUGAUGUUUGCAGAGUUACAAGUUCAAUUAAGUUAAAGUGUCAGUACACAAAAAUUGCAUUUAUUAUUUUUGUCUUAUAGCAAUCUUUAAAAUUUCAAGUUUACUUCUGGCUCCAGUGUUUUGGGAUUUAAUAAACUAUUGCACAAUCUACUUCUAUUCUUCAUAACGUACCUUCUCUGGGUUGCAAUGGACUCAUCAUAAAGUAAGGAUGUUGCUAUAAUUGAUCUCGGAAGUCCAGCUCUACAAUUCUAUUAAUCUAUAUACAAUUUCCACUUACUCUUUGGAUGAAGUCUUCCUGGUAUUAGUAUUUUAUUGUGUUUCUUUCAUUGGGCAAUGAAGAUUUUCUUUGAGUACGUAAAAUAAUCUUAGGCAUGAAUGGUUAGAAACAUUUUUUUUUUUUUUGGCAAAGUAGCCUCUUUCUUCUUGGAUUAAAUUGGGUUUAAGGCUGACUCUGAAAGUAAAACCACUGUUGGCCUUUAAAUGCCCUGGAGUCUGGAUUAGAAGGAAAGUCCCUGGUGGGUAAGGAAGGCACUUGAGAUGAGCACUGGGUAUUAUAGGUAAGUGAUGAAUCACUAAAUUCUACUCUUGAAGCCAAUAUUACACUGUAUGUUAACUAACUAGAAAAAAGAAGUAAAGUCCCUGGCUAGCUCCUAUCUUCUGUAUUCAUUAACUCAAGUCUCUUUUCUGAUCUCUCAGUCCUUAAAUUCUCAAGUGCCAGAAAUGCAGAAUCAUUACUCAUUCUUUUUUCUCUUGCCACCUGCAACUGCCCACACUUACUGAACAGACACUCUGGGUAAGCUAUGGCCUCAUUCUCUACUAUUCCUAGGGCCUUCAAGCCCUCUAUUACCCGAAACUCCUGGGCAUGUCAGGGGGUGGUCUGGUUACUAACUCCUUGAAGAUUUCUGAUUGUAGUGAUGGGUCUGGGAGAACACUGAGGGGGUAUAAACCCAUAUAAUGUCAAUACCAGGGUGUGAGGUGGGAGUCAGUGGUGCUGGAACUCCAGGUCCUGGUUUUUCUGAUGUGUCAGUGCAGUGUCAGUGUGAAAUUAUACUGAUGAUGAUGGGGAGGAACUAACUAGUAAGUGCCAUGGGGGAAAACUGGAAAUCUGUGCUCAUAAUAGAUCCAACAUAAGGAGGGAAAAUUCAAAAUUUAGUUUGGUUAUGAAAAAAAAAAGUUAUAGUACUCUGGUGACUUGAUCUUAACUUAGGUUUACUUUUUGAGCAACAACAAAACAACAGCUAUAUAUACAGCUAAAUACAUCACAUGGGUCUUAUUGCUUCACUGUUCAAUUUUAUUCAUGUACUUUCGGUGUUCAUAUAAUCUAGUCCUGUGCUCAUGCAAUGGGAUUAUUGUUUUAGAUCUUACAGGAAAAUUAGAUUGCAUCCUGACCAAGGUAAUUUUGAGCUUAAAGGAUUUGUGUGAAUGCUAAUGAAUGCCCACUCAAGAACUCUCAGGUACAUACAGGCAGAUCUUGAGAAGCAUUUUGAUACAGCGAGCUUUUUAUCACACAUCAGUUCUUUGAACAAAUUUUUUAAAGCAGCAUCUCUUGUUUGUUUCUACAUGUUCAUUGGAAAAAUAAUGGAAAUAGAGACGAACAAUAUGUGAAAUGAUUAUUUACCCACAUACCCCACAGAUAAAUGAACACCAGUAACACUUUGGCAUAAACUUUUAUAAUUCUUUUGUACACACACACACACACACACACACACACACAUUUUUUGUUUUGGACACCAAAUUGCUCCCAAUCUAUUUCUUUUGUUUCUACUUUAAAAUAUUAACUUUUCUGGGUUUCACUAGAUUUAUCAAAAAAUGUGGUAUUGCUGUAAUUGAUCUCUGAGGUCUAGUCCCACCAAUUCUAUGGACUUUUAAAAUUUUCACAUAUUCAUUGGGUAAAAUCACUUGCGCACCAAUAUGAAAAUUCUUUUAAAUUUCAUACCUAGCAAUGUUUUGUGAACAUUUCAAUGUCAUUGAAUAUUAUUUAAUAAUAUAAUUUUAAUGACUUUAUAUUAUUCUAUUAUGAUUAUAGUGUAGUGUUAUUACCAACCUUUUGUUAAACAUUAAGGAUUUUUUUCUAAUUUUCUAGUUAUAUUUUAUGCUCAAUUAUCAUCCUUAUAAAUAAACUCUUAUACUUGUGUCAGAUGAUUUGUGUAUAAUAAAUUCCUAAAUGUGUAAUUUGUAGAAAUCAAGAUUCCCAAAGUUUAAGUGUUUUACAAAUGUGGUGAAAAUUACCUCCAGAAAUGAUGUGCCAGUUUAUAUACUCCCAAAUUUUAGUUCAGCAUAUUAUUAUUCAAAACUAUUAAUUGAUGAAGUUUAAUAUGAUGACAAAUUGUUUUAUGUUCGUUCCUUUGCCAAAUUUUUAAUAUAUUUAUUAAUCACUUGUAUUCCUUUGCACAUUAAAAAAAUUUUUUUAUUACAUUUCUUUCUUUUUGAGAGGCAGAGCAUGAGUGGGGGAGGGGUA